UACGUAGGGACCAAGCGUUGUUCGGAUUUACUGGGCGUAAAGGGCGCGUAGGCGGCGCGGUAAGUCACUUGUGAAAUCUCUGAGCUUAACUCAGAACGGCCAAGUGAUACUGCAGUGCUAGAGUGUGGAAGGGGCAAUCGGAAUUCUUGGUGUAGCGGUGAAAUGCGUAGAUAUCAAGAGGAACACCUGAGGUGAAGACGGGUUGCUGGGCCAUUACUGACGCUGAGGAGCGAAAGCGUGGGUAGCGAACAGG
rnacentral:rRNA from 1 species